CGCGAGGCGUGCACACCACAUCUCGCGGGAGUGAGAGCGAAGGAAAUGCUGUAAAGUACAGCUGCAGUCUGCUGGGCCCCCUCUGCAAGUAUAGGGAGCCGGGGGACCCCACCAUGCCACCGGACCACCAGGGAUCAUGGAAUCUCCCCCCUCCCUGGACCAGGUAAGAAACAGGAAGGGGGGAAUAACAGAUUACAUUUACAUUAUUACAUUACAUGCAUACACUUGUAAGCACACACACACACACACACUCUGCAUUCAUUACACUAACACACACUCUGGAUACACUACACUAACACACACACUGCAUUCACUACACUAACACACACUCAAUU